CUGACUGCAGGGCUGCAGGCAGCGCAUGCUUUUAGCUUGAAUUUUCACUUCUUCAUUCUGGAAGGAAGAAUGGGAGAAAUGUUCUGGGUGCAAAUUCCGUGUGUGUCUCACGCCAUCUGCUAAUAGCAUGUGUGAGCUGCUCUACUGCCAGAAACCAGGAACAAAGAUAACAUCACUGCAGAGAGAACUGCCCUGCUCCCAAGUGAGGCUCGUACUGCAGGUAACCCGAUCGCUCCGCACCCACUGGGGCCGAGCCUAGGGCAGUCCUGUUCACCUGACACUUGCAUAAACCUAGGACGGUGUCACUCAAACCAGUGUGGGACCUUAGAUGCAAAGCUGUUCCUGCUGAGCCCAGCAGAUAAAUAAAGUUCAUAAUCCAUUCAAUACGAUGGCCCUGUUGGAAUCCCAGAGAUGAAGUUAUUCGGGAGGAGGAAGUACAAAAGCCAAAGAAGCCUCCCCAUCUAAACCCUGUUCAGGCAACUUGCAGACGAGGCAGGGAGUACAGUCUGCAGUGGAACACUGAGGAAACUGUCACAGAAGCUACCGCUGGUCCUGAGCACAUUCACCAGAGUCUUGAGAGUCUGCUGUGCCACAGCUGGAUGCUCAUCCAUCUGAGAACCAGGCUUUUCUCUGCCUUUCCACAGCCUGCAAUGCAGUCAGGAAGCAAAGGAUACUAAGGGAUGUUAGCAGCUGCCAAACUGCCAGAGUUACCACAAGGCCUGACGACACGCUGCUGCUGCACCAGGCAGGACGGGACGGCGGGCUUGUCUGCACUGCUGGAAAGCAAGCAGCCAGGAACGGGCAUGCACAAGCAACCUGCAGAGCUCGGUGACCACAUUUCUUUGGUGUCUGCUGCCCAGCUGGAAAAGAGGUGUGCCUCUCAGAGUGUGCAGCCCUGAGGACCACAGAGGGAGGUGGGAGCAGCACCGUGGAAGGCAGGUAUACAAAACCCCACAGAGGAAUUGCAUUUUCCUACUCCUCAUUUGUUAUUCUACAUGGUAAUGUAUUAAUUCCUUCACUAAACUCCUUUGAUUAUUUUUAUUACCCUCCUGAUGUCACUCUGAAUAUUACUGUUAUCCUUAUAAAUACACAAACCCCUUUCUGAAGAAUUUUAGCCAUCCAACCAACAUGCCCUGUGACCUUGAAGUCAGUACACUCAAUUCAUCAGUUGAAUUGAAAAUAACUGAGCUUUGGGUGAAAAAUUCACUACGUAUCCCUAAGGCUCAUACAUUUGGUAUGGUUUAAGGUGUAAGUAAGUGUGCAUAAAAUGAAUAUCAUUCUAAUGGGCUUUGUAUUUUCUUAGAUGGAACUUGACGAUGUUGGCAAUACGUCUCCAUGCAAAAAAACAAAGGUGUGUUUAUAAAGGCAUGUGCCAGGUUAAAGAGACAAAUGCUGUAUCAUACAGAGGUUUACAUUAAAGAGAGGAAUUACUUCACUAUGGGUAUAUGUGAAGGCCCACACUCCAUCUUGCAAACCUUGCAAGGGUUUGUCCAGGCGGAAAGAGCCCUGCAGAUGCCCCAGGCUUGGCCAGGAGCGCCCAGCUUUGCCAGCAACAGCCUGGCAUGCUGCUGCUGGCAGGGCCUCAUCUGCCCGGUGAGCUGCACGGGCAGCAGCAGUGCAGUAGAUAUUGGAGAUACUGCUCUGAGGGAAGCACCUGCAAGGCCACCACUGCUCCAUAUGGGUCUGCUGGGGGCAGGAGUAGCAGCAGACAAGAGGGCAUGCAACAUGGGCCCCAGCUGCAGUGUUUGAAGGCCUGGAAACAGGAAUGCAUCCAUUCUCCUCCAGUUUAAUACAAAACUCCUGAUCCUCAAGAAUACCAGCUGUGAGUUGACGUUAAUGUCAGUGAAUAGCAAAUAGUCCCCUGACACCAAUCUGGAUCACGUUUCAUUGCAGAAGGAUUGUCUUCAAAUAGACUGCCACUGGUUCUAUGUUUAGGACCUAUUUUCCAUGCUCGCUGAUAGUGUCCUGCUUCUUUCCAAAGCUACAUAACCUCAGUGUCCUGGCUAGCUUUGGGCCCAGCCCCUUAAGUCACACUCCCUUGAAUAAGCCUUAUCCAUGAAUACAGUGAGUCUCAUGUCAUGACAAAAAGCUUUAAUAAAACGAUGUUCUGGGAGCACAAUGAAAAGCCAAUCUAAUCAGUACCCAGCUAAGGCAGGGAUGAAUGCACGAUAGGCAGCUUUUUUACAUUUAUCACCAGGCCCUAACAGCCCCAAAAUAACCACACAUGUUGAGUAACCAACAAGAAGAAGCCAAUUUCUGAAGACCUACCUAGAUAACAUAGUUCUUCUUUUCAGUACAUAAAUCCUGAAUAGGACUCUGGAAUCAUGAAAAUAAUUAGGGUGAUGAUAACAAUAAAUUUAAAAUAUUUUCCAGACAAGAAGCUGAGAAAGUCUCUAGGGAGGUCUUUUGGUGGACUUCAUAAAUCUUAACACCGUUUUUAAUUAAGUAUUAGUUAUUUCAUAAUCCACAUUGUUUACUUAGCAACUGCUUUGGUAUUGAGUAUGCUAUCCUGGCAACAUACAUUUUUGCCAUAGGCCAGGAUCACAAAACACUAUUUGAAUCAUCUGUCAUCCCCAGUCUGCCUACGUUGUUAUUCUAUAGCUGCAGAUCGCAAGAUGAUGAACAAUGCUGGAUAUUCAUCAACCUUAUUUCAAACAUGGAGUAACUAUGAUGUAAUGAGAUUAAGAAAUCUGCUUGAUGCCAUUAAAUGAAUUAGCAGCCAUACAAAGAUUAGAAAACAUUUCCCUAUUCCUGGCUCUGCUCGUAAUCCACUGGACACGAACACCCGAACCACUUCUUACUGCCAUUCGCAGUUUCAGCAAAGGGGUGCACUGAAGGAGGCAUUAAUUCACUCCUCAGGGCUUUUUAAGAGACUUUUAAGUGACCGAAAGAGGACUUCAGAUGCUUCAAAGAAGAGAGAACGAUGGCACUAUGGUGUCACUUCGGGGACUGAAAUUCAGUCUGCAAAAGCUCAUACAAAUUCAAAAGAAGGAGAAUCGUGUUUAUGCAGAGCUGAGGCUCUGUGCAUAUAGAAGUGUGGGUUUUGGUAGACGUUGUGAGCUUCAGGAGGCCGUUGAAGGGAAUAAAGCACAAAUAUACAGCCAUGAUAUUUUACGAUGUUUCCUUUCUUAGGCCUUUUUGGGGGUUAUCAAAUCUUUGGUGGAUAUUUGGCACAUGGUUAAGUAAACUCAGGAGGAAAACCUAAAGGUAAGAAAUUGAAGCAACUGAUUAUGCAAAUUCUAAACUUUUCACAGUUAUCCACUGAGGACUGCUUAGGUCCUUUGUGUUACCAGAAGUCCUGCAGUCAGGACGUACACAGCCUCUUUAUGACUUCCACGUGAUAGUGCAGUUGUUCCAGAUGGAUAUCAAUUCAAUUAAGAGCAAAGAGUGAUUUGAGCUAUAUUCAGUGAAUUUGGAAGUACCGUUGACAUCAAAUUGCUUUGCCUCUGGUGGGUUUUUUUAAGCACCCACACAAGUCACUAUGUUUAAUUUUUAAAAAACCCUUAUAAAUACAACAUAUGAAGGAAAACACUGCUAGAUUAUUCUCUUCUUCUUGGUUUAGAACCUUUGACAGUAAGCUUACAAUUCUAACACAUCACUGACGUCCAUGCCUUCCAAGACAUUCUGGAACUUUCUCUUUGCAACACAGCAUGGAGGAGGCUGAGGAUAAGUGGUUGCAAGUUUACACAUUAUAAGAGAUGUGAUGUGAGCUUGUAAUUCAGGUUCUGUGUCAUCUGUGGGAAAAACCAUAGAAUGCUCAUCUCUACUCCUUGCACACACCCAGAUGUGGUAUCAGAUUCUGAUCUCUUUAAUCAUUAAAACUUUUCAUUAUUAUUUGAAUCAGCGUGUUGUCUGGAGAUUCAUUGCAGAACAGAACGUUACUAUGCUGUGUGUUCCCAUCUCCUUCUGCCCUGCACUGGUAAAUGCCUGAAAGACUUCAGUUAUUACGUGAUAUUCCAUGUAAACCUGACUUCAAAAGUAAAUGAAGGAUUGUCUUGCAGUCACGCUCCUACCACCAGCACUCUGUUAGAAAGCUUUUUCUUUUACAGCUGAGUGGGCAACUGCUGCAAGUGGAGCUCCUGAGGGCUGGGUUGGGGGCAGUGGGGGCAGCAAGGGUGUGGUUUUUCAUUCUUGUAUUUCUGCAAGAUGAUUCUGAAAGGUAUUGUCUAACAAUUUACAGAUCACAAGCAGGGUUACAGGGUUCCUACCUACGUGAAACUACGUGAUUCAUGGAAAGAUGCAAUACACCUUACACGUUCUACAGGAUGAAGUCAUUAGAAC
rnacentral:lncRNA from 1 species